rnacentral:rRNA from 1 species
AUGGCGAUGGCGAUGGCGAUGGCGGGCGGCGGAUGGCGGGCGUGGGCGGAGCGGCACAAGCCGUGCGUGGCGAUGGUGCUGGUGCAGCUCUUCUACUCGCUGGUGGACAUGGCGCUCAAGACGGCCUACGGGCUGGGCAUGCGCCCCAUCGUCUUCGUCGCCUACCGCCAGGGCAUCGCCGCCGCCGCGCUCCUCCUCGCCUCGCUCGCCGCCAGGGGGCUCACGCUGCGCCCCAUGGCCGUCGGCUCCCGGACCUUCGCCCUCCUCUUCCUCGCCUCCCUCGCCAGGUACGGCUCGAUUCCGGCACCUUGCGCUGAUACGAUACAUGUCGAUCGAUGUUGCAGCGCGACCGGGCAGUACUUCUACUUCAUGGGGCUGCAGCUGGCGUCGCCGUCCAUGGCCCGGGCCACCACCAACCUCGCCCCCGGCAUCACCUUCGCCAUCGCCGCCGUCAUCGGGCUGGAGAAGGUGGACUUGAGGAGCUCAAGAAGCAUCGCCAAGAUCGUCGGCACCGUCGUCUGCCUCGCCGGAGCGAUGCUCAUGGCGUUCUUCAAGGGCCCAAAGCUUCUCGGCGCCCUGCUCCUGCCGGCGACCGAUGACUGGGUGCGAGGCGGCAUCUACCUCAUGGGGAACGCCUUCUGUUUCUCCAUCUGGUACAUCUUGCAGGUACCGGUCUGUAAAUCCUACCUUGAUCCGCUGUCCUUGGCAACCUGGAUGUGCUUCCUAGCGACCUUGCAAUGCGCGGUGAUGGCCUUCUUCCUAGAAGCGAACUACAUGGAGAUCUGGAAGCUUGCUUCUAUCUGGGAGCUCCCCUGCAUCUUAUACGGAGGCGUUUUCGCAUCGGGCGCAAACUUUUUUAUGCAAUCUUGGUGCAUAUCAGUGAAAGGCCCCCUUUACAGCGCAAUUUUUACACCGCUGAGCGCGGUCAUCACAACAAUAUUGGCCACGCUCGUCCUUCACGAGGAACUGCAUAUUGGGAGCGUGUUAGGUGCUAUUGUAAUCAUCCUAGGCCUGUAUGUUGUGCUGUGGGGUAAAGCUGAUGAUGCAAGCGGUGAGGGGCUGGCCAUCCGCUCUGGUGAUUCUGAAAGCAUUUUAGAGCAAGAUUGUAUGGGUGUAAAAGUAGAAAGUGGGACCAAUCUUUCAGAACCAUUGUUGUUAUCUGAAAACGCGGAUGCUGAUGCUUCGAGAUGCCAAUGA